rnacentral:lncRNA from 1 species
UGAAAAGGUAUGUACGACAAUAAUGGGUGUAAUAUAAUCAUGCUCAAUACUACUCUCACAUAAUAGCUAGGCGAUAAAUCGCUAGUCACCUACAAGUCGGAACCAUAAUAAAGGUCUGUAUGAUAAGACUGUGCACCUAAAUUGGAUCCAAUAUAAGCAUAUGGUGCAGGAGGUGACAUUAUAAACAGGCAUGUGCCAUAACUCUGGCUAAAUCACAAUCACCCUAAGUGCAGUUUUAUGAGCUCAACGUUAUUCAAUCACAUAUCACAUCAUCGAUAAUUCUCACAGCACCACAAUUAUAUAUAAUGCAUCAUAUACCAAAUCAUAUACGAAAUAUAAAUUCAUAUGCAUGGCAUUUAAGGCAUACUUUCAUUUAAACGCAUAUUUCUGGGAAAAUAUCAAGUAUAUAAAUAUAUACUGAAAACCAAAAGCCCACUCACUAGUAU